GACGAACGCUGGCGGCAGGCUUAACUCAUGCAAGUCGAGCGGAGAGAGGUAGCUUGCUACUGAUCUUAGCGGCGGACGGGUGAGUAAUGCUUAGGAAUCUGCCUAUUAGUGGGGGACAACAUUUCGAAAGGAAUGCUAAUACCGCAUACGUCCUACGGGAGAAAGCAGGGGAUCUUCGGACCUUGCGCUAAUAGAUGAGCCUAAGUCGGAUUAGCUAGUUGGUGGGGUAAAGACCUACCAAGGCGACGAUCUGUAGCGGGUCUGAGAGGAUGAUCCGCCACACUGGGACUGAGACACAGCCCAGACUCCUACGGGAGGCAGCAGUGGGGAAUAUUGGACAAUGGGCGGAAGCCUGAUCCAGCCAUGCCGCGUGUGUGAAGAAGGCCUUAUGGUUGUAAAGCACUUUAAGCGAGGAGGAGGCUACUUUAGUUAAUACCUAGAGAUAGUGGACGUUACUCGCAGAAUAAGCACCGGCUAACUCUGUGCCAGCCGCCGCAGUAACAC
rnacentral:rRNA from 1 species